AUUGAACGCUGGCGGCAGGCCUAACACAUGCAAGUCGAGCGAGCGGCGGACGGGUGAGUAAUGUAUGGGGACUGCCCGAUAGAGAGGGAUAACUACUGGAAACGGUAGCUAAUACCGCAUACUAUCGGAUAACCCAUAUGGGAGUAGAUAGUUGGGGAGGUAAUGGCUCACCAAGGCGACGAUCCCUAGCUGGUCUGAGCGGAUGAUCAGCCACACUGGGACGUAGAACCGGCCCAGACUCCUACGGAGGCAGCAGUGGUGAAUAUUGCACAAUGGGCGCAAGCCUGAUGCAGCCAUGCCGCGUGUAGGAAGAAGGCCCUAGGGUUGUAAAGUACUUUCAGUCGGGAGGCGUUACCGACAGAAGAAGCACCGGCGAACUCCGUGCCAGCAGCCGCGGUAAUUC
rnacentral:rRNA from 1 species